GAGCGAUCAAUGGGAGCUUGCUCCCUGAGAUUAGCGGCGGACGGGUGAGUAACACGUGGGCAACCUGCCUAUAAGACUGGGAUAACUUCGGGAAACCGGAGCUAAUACCGGAUACGUUCUUUUCUCGCAUGAGAGAAGAUGGAAAGACGGUUUACGCUGUCACUUAUAGAUGGGCCCGCGGCGCAUUAGCUAGUUGGUGAGGUAAUGGCUCACCAAGGCGACGAUGCGUAGCCGACCUGAGAGGGUGAUCGGCCACACUGGGACUGAGACACGGCCCAGACUCCUACGGGAGGCAGCAGUAGGGAAUCUUCCGCAAUGGACGAAAGUCUGACGGAGCAACGCCGCGUGAACGAAGAAGGCCUUCGGGUCGUAAAGUUCUGUUGUUAGGGAAGAACAAGUACCAGAGUAACUGCUGGUACCUUGACGGUACCUAACCAGAAAGCC
rnacentral:rRNA from 2 species